rnacentral:lncRNA from 14 species
CUAAGGAUUUGUGACUUGUUUGCCUCUGAGCAUGAAAAGAGGAAGGAGAAUUGCUGUGGUCCAGCUGUGUGUGUUAAGGGGAUGCUAGGUGCCAUGACCCGUGUGUCUGCUCCUAUGGCAUGGUGAGCUCUGUUUCACCAGGGCACUUGGAAGAAAUCCAAAUGCUAUGGGGUUUUAGUGGGAUGGGGAGUGCCUUCCAAGUGUGUACUAAUGUAUUUGAAUGACGUUUGAUAGGGGAUGGCAGGAUACCCGCAUUUAAGGAUCGCAGGGAGGAAACUGGGGAUGGUGACUCAAGAGAUGCCCCAAGAACCUGUCUGCACCCAUGGGGCUAUACCAGUUCCCUUAGCAUCUUUGGCCUGAGGUCAAUGGGAUUUGUGUCUGGCUUUUGCUCGCAGAAGGACAGAAGAAGACCUAUGUGCUACAAAAACGGUGAAGUGCAGUACAUUGAGCAAAUAAGGAAGAUACCAGCGUGCCACCUGGGCCUCUGCUGUUGGUUUUGGAGGUAGGAUGCUGCCUUGACAAGCAUGACGGAGACAUUGCAGGGAGCCUUUAGAGCAUGAACUUGGCACGCAACCUCGGCUAAGUGGCUCAUCUGUAAGGUAAGAUCAUACUGGGUGUAGGAGCCUAAUUAAUUAG